ACGGAGGGUGCAAGCGUUAUUCGGAAUUACUGGGCGUAGAGGGCGCGCAGGCGGCUCUUUAAGUCGGGCGUGAAAGCCCGGGGCUAAACCCCGGAAGUGCGUUCGAAACUAAAAGGCUUGAGUACGGGAGAGGGAAGUGGAAUUCCUGGUGUAGAGGUGAAAUUCGUAGAUAUCAGGAGGAACACCGGUGGCGAAGGCGACUUCCUGGACCGAUACUGACGCUGAGGCGCGAAAGCGUGGGGAGCAAACAGG
rnacentral:rRNA from 1 species